ACAUGAGCCUCCACACCUGAGAAUAUAAGGUAGGGAAGCUGUGAGGCAGCUUAUUGCUACAGUCCUGCUACAAACAGACAGACAGAGAAAGACAGACUCAGCUCUUUGACACACUCAUACAUAACUCAAAAUCAGACAAAGUCUGCUGGGUAAUGGCUGCUCUCAGGGUUUUUCUCCCUCUCGCCAUCUGCCACCUGCUGGGGCAUCAGACGUUUGCCAAACAUGUCGCUCCCUGCCAGAAGUCUGCCCGGAUCAACGGCUAUGACACCUUCGUCAAGCGCCACAUUCGUGGCGAUUGGCCCGCCAUUGAAAAGAAAGAAGAAUGGACGAUUUACAUCAAGAAAGUCAGCAGUGACUGUAAGAGAACCAUUCAGUCUUUUCUUCAGCCUAAAGAUCAGAAAGAUGUGAAGGAUGUGUGCUUGAAAGCAGGCUGGAAGAUCAACCGGGAAAACCUGUGCAUCAGCGACAAGCUAUUCAAAUUUGUUACAGUGACAAGCGAGAUUAACACCUGCAAAGUCACUGAUGUAACUAUGGAAGAAAAAUAUCUGAUUCUGGGCUGUGAGAUCGAGAGGGAUGUGUGUCUGCCUGUGCAUUUUGAGGCAAACCGUGACGAAAAACCUGAAGGAAAAAAAAAUCGCUGCCUAGAGCCCUGACAUUUUAAAGCAGCUUAAAAAUGUCAGGGCUCCAAUAGUACCUCUUUUAAAUUUGAGAAACAUGAGAUCUUAACAUCUUAACACGUUGUGUGGAUUAAAAUGGGAAUCAAUCACAUUUCCACACCAAAGGGAUUGUAUUUUAUUAUGCAUGUUUGCGGUAUAUUUAAUAAAGUGAGUUCAGAAGAA